AGAGUUUGAUCAUGGCUCAGAGCGAACGCUGGCGGCGUGCUUAACACAUGCAAGUCGAGUGCGCGUUUCCGUAGCAAUACGGAAAUGGCGCACGGCGCACGGGUGCGUAACACGUGGGUAAUCUGCCCUCUGAUGGGGAAUAACUCGCCGAAAGGCGAGCUAAUUCCGCAUAACAUUCCUUGGACUCCGGUCUGAGGAUUCAAAGGCGUAAGUCGUCGGAGGUGGAGCCCGCGCACGAUUAGCUAGUUGGUGAGGUAAUGGCUCACCAAGGCUAUGAUCGUUAGCUGGUCUGAGAGGAUGGCCAGCCACACUGGAACUGAGACACGGUCCAGACUCCUACGGGAGGCAGCAGUGGGGAAUCUUGCACAAUGGGCGAAAGCCUGAUGCAGCGACGCCGCGUGGGGGAUGAAGCUUCUCGGAGUGUAAACCCCUUUCGACCGGGACGAAUACCUCGUAAGAGGGGUGACGGUACCGGUAUAAGAAGCCCCGGCUAACUACGUGCCAGCAGCCGCGGUAAGACGUGGGGGGCCAGCGUUGCUCGGAAUUACUGGGUGUAAAGGGUUCGUAGGCGGUGUGGCAAGUCGGGAGUGAAAUCUCUGGGCUCAACCCAGGGGCUGCUUCCGAAACUGCCGUGCUAGAGUGUGGGAGAGGCGCGUGGAAUUGCAGGUGUAGCGGUGAAAUGCGUAGAUAUCUGCAGGAACACCCGUGGCGAAAGCGGCGCGCUGGACCACUACUGACGCUGAGGAACGAAAGCUAGGGGAGCAAACAGGAUUAGAUACCCUAGUAGUCC
rnacentral:rRNA from 1 species